CCUACGGGCGGCAGCAGUGAGGAAUAUUGGUCAAUGGGCUUACGACUGAACCAGCCAAGUCGCGUGAGGGAAGACUGCCCUAUGGGUUGUAAACCUCUUUUGUCAGGGAGCAAUUGGCGCUACGUGUAGCGUUAUCGCGAGGACCUGAAGAAAAAGAAUAGGCUAACUCCGCGCCAGCAGCCGCGGUAAUACGGAGGAUGCGAGCUGUAUCCGGAUUUAUUGGGUUUAAGGGGUGCGUAGGCGGAAAGCCAAGUCAGCGGUAAAAUCGCGGGGCUCAACCUCGCUCCGCCGUUGAAACUGGCGUUCUUGAGUGGGCGAGAAGUAUGCGGAAUGCGUGGUGUAGCGGUGAAAUGCAUAGAUAUCACGCAGAACUCCGAUUGCGAAGGCAGCAUACCGGCGCCCAACUGACGCUGAAGCACGAAAGCGUGGGUAUCGAACAGGAUUAGAUACCCGAGUAGUC
rnacentral:rRNA from 1 species